rnacentral:rRNA from 1 species
CGAUAUCAAUAAGCGGAGGAAAAGAAAAUAACAAUGAUUCCCUUAGUAACGGCGAGUGAAGGGGGAUAAGCUCAAAUUUUAAAUCUGCUAGGUCUUACCUAUCAGAGUUGUAAUUUGAAGAAGCGUUUUCCGCGUCUCGGUUGACCCAAAUCCUUUGGGAUAUGGUAUCAUGGAGGGUGAGAAUCCCGUUCGGUUGACCUUAUGACGCUUUACGAUACGUUUUCUAAGAGUCGAGUUGUUUGGGAUUGCAGCUCAAAAUGGGAGGUAAAUUUCUCCUAAGGCUAAAUAUUGGCGAGAGACCGAUAGCGAACAAGUACCGUGAGGGAAAGAUGAAAAGAACUUUGAAAAGAGAGUAAAAUAGUACGUGAAAUUGUUGAAAGGGAAACGAUUGAAGUCAGUCGUACCGACGGAAAAUCAGCUCUUUGAGUGCGGACUUGUGGGUUUACGUGAGCUUUACGGCCUCGUCGUUUGCAAUGUUCGUUCUUUUUGGGUGUACUUUUUCGUAUGGUUGGCCAAUAUCAGUUUCGAUCGCUAUAAAAUGACCGGCGGAAUGUAGCUUUGAUCCCGUAUUGAAGUGUUAUAGCCUCUGGUAGAUGUGGUGAUUGGGACUGAGGAUUGCAACGAAUACCUUUUUGGGCUAUCCGUCUGAUCUCUGAAAGUUGCUUAGGUGCCGAAAGCGUGCUUACGGUUAUUUAAGUUGACGGUCAAAAGGUUAGAACGUGAUUAAAUUCGUUAAGGAUGUUGACGUA